UUGACCUCGAAUCAGGUAGGGAUACCCGCUGAACUUAAGCAUAUCACUAAGCGG
rnacentral:rRNA from 1 species